UUGCUUUGGCGGCACAUAUACCAAAAUCGGAAUGAUCCAGAGAAGACCAGCAUGGCAGCUACACAAAGAUAUUAACAAAUUUCAUGAAGCAUUUUAUAUAU
rnacentral:snRNA from 1 species